rnacentral:rRNA from 1 species
UUCAAAGCUUCAAACUGGGAUUAGAUACCCCACUAUUCUUGGAUGUAAAUUAACGUAAGUUUACCGGAGUACUAUGAAUCUUUAAACAAAUUUAAAACUCAAAGGGCUUGGCGGUGUUUUAGACCUCUCAGGGGAACCUGUCUCAUAAUCGACAAUCCACGUUAAACCUAACCUUUAUUUGCUAAUUCAGUUUGUAUACCGUCGUCGUCAGGUAACUUUUAAAAAAUAAGAAGUUAGCUAUAAAAUAAUUCUAAGUUUUUACGUCAGAUCAAGGUGCAAUUAAUAUAAAGGUGAGGAUGGGUUACAAUUAUUAAUUAUAAAUACGGAAAAAUAGUUGAAAUAUUAUUUCAUGAAGGAGGACUUGAAAGUAAAAAAGGUUAUAUAAAUAUUUUGAAUAAGGCUCUGAAGCGUGCACACACCGCCCGUCACCCUCUGCAGUCAAAUA